rnacentral:misc_RNA from 1 species
AUAAUAUAUAUAAAAGCGAAAGGUCACUCAUCACGAAAUCUCCGAAACUAUAACACCUACAAACUUGAAAUUUGGCAGGUAGGCUCCUUAUAAGGCUUAAGCAUCCCUAAGAAUGGAUUUUACAAAACUCAAUCCCUAAGGGGGUAAAACAGGGGUUGGUAGUUUGUAUGAAAGUCCUAUGUUUUUGAAGUAAGAGACUUGAAAUUUGAACAAAACUAAACAGAAUAAAGAACAAAAUAGAAUAGAACAGAACAGAACAGACCA